UCGGAUCGCAGCCUGCAACCCGGCUGCGUGAAGCUGGAAUCGCUAGUAAUCGCGGAUCAGAAUGCCGCGGUGAAUACGUUCCCGGGUCUUGUACACACCGCCCGUCACACCAUGGGAGCCGGAAACGCCCGAAGCCAGUGGCCUGACCGUAAAGAGGGAGCUGUCGAAGGCGGGUCCGGUGACCGGGGUGAAGUCGUAACAAGGUACC
rnacentral:rRNA from 1 species